CUACGGGGGGCAGCAGUGAGGAAUAUUGCGCAAUGGGGGAAACCCUGACGCAGCGACGCCGCGUGGAUGAUGAAGGCUUUCGGGUCGUAAAAUCCUGUCAGAUGGAAAGAAAUGUAAUCCUGCUAAUACCAUGAUUACUUGGCGGUACCAUCAGAGGAAGCACCGGCUAACUCCGUGCCAGCAGCCGCGGUAAUACGGAGGGUGCAAGCGUUGUUCGGAAUUACUGGGCGUAAAGCGCGCGUAGGCGGUUUGUUAAGUCAGAUGUGAAAGCCCAGGGCUCAACCCUGGACGUGCAUUUGAAACUGGCAGACUUGAGUAUUGGAGGGGGUGGUGGAAUUCCAGGUGUAGAGGUGAAAUUCGUAGAUAUCGGGAGGAAUACCGGUGGCGAAGGCGACCACCUGGCCAAAUACUGACGCUGAGGUGCGAAAGCGUGGGGAGCAAACAGGAUUAGAUACCCUCGUAGUC
rnacentral:rRNA from 1 species